rnacentral:rRNA from 1 species
AGGAUGAACGCUGGCGGCGUGCCUAAUACAUGCAAGUCGAACGAGCUCUUCGGAGCUAGUGGCGGACGGGUGAGUAACACGUUGGUACCUACCCCGAAGUGGGGAAUAACUGCCCGAAAGGGUGGCUAAUACCGCAUAAUACCGCAAGGUUAAAGCGAGUAAUCGCGCUUCGGGAGGGGCCUGCGUCCCAUUAGCUAGUUGGUAGGGUAAUGGCCUACCAAGGCGACGAUGGGUAGCUGGAUCGAGAGGUUGACCAGCCACACUGGGACUGAGAUACGGCCCAGACUCCUACGGGAGGCAGCAGUAAGGAAUCUUCCACAAUGGACGAAAGUCUGAUGGAGCAACGCCGCGUGCAGGAUGACAGUCUUCGGAUUGUAAACUGCUUUUAUAUGGGAAGAUUAUGACGGUACCAUAUGAAUAAGGACCGGCUAACUACGUGCCAGCAGCCGC